rnacentral:rRNA from 1 species
AUGCUCUCCGGCGCAUCAACACUCUGUAUGCUGUCUGGCGCAUCUACACUCUGUAUGCUGUCCGGCACAUCAACACUCUGUAUGCUGUCCGGCGCAUCAACGCCUUCUUCACCAUCAAUGUCAAGUGUGAUAAAGUCAGUGAAGUCCCCACCUGAGAAAACAUCAUGUUGCUGUUUCUGUCUGUCAUCUUGGCCUGAAGAAACUUUGCUUGUCUCACUAUCAUGUCUAAUGCUGGUGUCAAAAUACCGUCCCCAGCUACUGUUUUGGGGGGUGUCUGGUCUGCUUCUCUUAGAUUUGAUUGUCUUCUUCGGGGGGUGA